UACAGAGACUGCAAGCGUUAUUCGGAUUCACUGGGCGUAAAGGGUGCGUAGGUGGCGCUGUAAGUCGGGUGUGAAAUCCUGAGGCUUAACCUCGGAACUGCAUUCGAUACUGCGGCGCUUGAGGACUGGAGAGGAGACUGGAAUUCAUGGUGUAGCAGUGAAAUGCGUAGAGAUCAUGAGGAAGACCAGUGGCGAAGGCGGGUCUCUGGACAGUUCCUGACACUGAGGCACGAAGGCCAGGGGAGCAAACGGG
rnacentral:rRNA from 1 species